rnacentral:lncRNA from 1 species
UGUCUAGAAUUUCUUGUUUGAAAAACAUUAAAAAUCAUGAAAUUUUAUAAGAAAAUUAAAGAAAAAUAUUUUAAAAACCAUUGAAUAUCAUUCAUUCGAAUGCAAAUAUUAGUGAUCUAAUUAGAUGGCCAUCUUCAUCAGACAACAUUUAUUAACCUGAAACAUUGGAAAAUCAUCAGAAUGCUGACAUAUUAGAUAUCCACGAUGAUGAAGUGGAAGCUAUAAAUAGUACUAAUAAGGUUAACGAUCUUAUUUAUACUAACAUUUCUAAAAAUAUAGAGACUAGUAGUGAGCUUUUAAUAGAAGAUUUUUAAUAAAAGAAUUCCAAAUAUUAUUCCUUCAGAUCUCUUAGAAUAACAAAAUCAUCCUCAAAUUCAAACCUUUCCUCUUGAAUUCUACAUAGGGCCAUCUGUUAAGUGGUGACAGCGUUGGCGAAUAAAACAAUUAUAUUUUAAGCGGAUUCUUUAUAAAAUAAAGAUAUUAUUUAUCACUUUUACUACAGAUAAAAUAAUUAUAUUUCAGCCUUGUCUCGUGAAUAAGUAGAACAGGUAGUAUCUCUGAUGGCAUCGAGUCUCACACAAAUUCAAAGCAAAUAAAAAACCCCACCGGUCUUGCAUACCUAAAUCCAUUGCAUACCUUCAGUCUUCGUUUGUGUGUCGAGUCGACCAUAUGUACCGCUCCGCUUUUCUAAAUUAUCGAUUUUUAUUUUGUACCGUGUUGUUCAUUGUUCAUUAAAUAAAUAGGUUAAUAUGCCUAAGCACAGCCGUAAACGACAACAUUCUCGUAGCCGAUCUAGAGAACGGAAAAAUCGGCGUUUAGAAAAACGAUUGGCCGAAAUGCAACGACAAUUAGAUGAAAUUAAUAGUCGGGAAAAAGCGUCGUUUGGAGAGCUCUAGAGGCGGUGAUGCCGGAGAACCCAGUGCAUAUUCUUCACCGUAUGAUAAUGAUUUGUCACCUCGCCACUCUGUUCGUGAAACAGUUAGGGUGGAUGUCCACCAGUUAAACAGUAAUUCUGAAUAGCAAAAAAAGAAUCCUCAGCCCCCGAUCGUGCAAUCAGAGGAAGCAAAAGAAAAAUCUUUGAGUUCUGAGGUUUUGCAGAUACUUGGCGAUGAGCCAAUAAAUAAGACCGUCUUAGGACCUUCAAUUUAUGAGGCAGUAGUCCCUCGCUGGAGAAAUAUUUUACAGAAUGGUUUAAGUGAGGAGAAUAUUCAAGUUCUUCUCCAAAAACAUAUAAUACCCGAAAAUUUUAAGUCUCUGGAAGUACCUCAGUUAAAUCCCGAGGUUAAGGCAGCCUUAACUGCUCAAAUACUCCGCAGAGAUGAGCGCCUGGUGCGAAAACAGCAGUUUGUGGCUGCAAGCAUAUCAGCAAUUUCCCAAGCCUUAACUUUGAUGCUAGCUGAAGAAGGGAGGGGCAACAACGUAUAUAUGCAAUACCUAAGUAAUGCUGGCUGCCUAUUCUGUCAUCUACACCAUCUUGACACCAUGACACGCAAAGAUCUUAUUUCUAUAAAUUUGAAUGAGGAUCUAAAAGAUACGCUUUCUGCUGCGCCUACUGAUAAUUUCUUGUUUGGUCAAGCAUUGGAAGAACGAGUGAAGUUCCAUUAAUUCGUCUAUUGAAGACCGUUUAAAAAUUGGAGCUAUUAGUAAAGUAACACCAUGUAAAAAUCAAUUGUCUACCCUUUGGUUUAAACUCUGCUCCCUUAGUAUUUACCAAGAUCAUGAAACCAAUACUAGCCUAUUUAAGGAGCAGAAAUCACACAUGUGUACUAUUUGUAGACGAUUUUUUGCUAUUUGGUAAUUCCCAAAAGGAGUGCCAUAAUAAUAUCAUGUCGACUAUCAAAUUAUUACAAAACUUGGGUUUUAUAGUUAAUUACAAAAAAAAAGUGUAUUAUGUCCCUCAACUUGUGUUCGAUAUUUAGGAUUUUUAUAUAAUUCUACAACAAUGACUGUUUCGCUACCUAACAACGGAAAAAAUUUUAAAAGUUUUAAAAUUGCUAAGAAAAUUUUCAAAUUCUCGAAAUUGUCGAAUAAGGGAAAUAAUAUUAUUAUUCGUACAUUUUAAAUUGUAUGUUUUUGGCAACAUACAUUCUUGUUGUUUUUGGCAACAUACAUUCUUGUUGUUUUUGGUGACAACAUAAUUUAAUGUUGUUACCUAGUUUGUACCGUACCUAUGUUUUUGGUAACUUUAAAAAAAAAAUCUGCAGGCAAUUUUAAUGCAAAAAUGGAAAUAUCUUCUAUACUCAAAGAAGAUUUUAAUUGCUGGCUAACAAAUUUAGCUACAGCUAAUAAUGCGAUUAAAAAAGAAUACAUGGUUUUUGGACCGAAAGAGAAAAAACUUAUCAUAUAAAUUAUUUAGAGCUAAAAGCUGUUUAUUUGGUUUUAAAACAUUUUGCUGAAAAUGCUUCAGAUUGCAAUAUAUUAUUUCGAGUUGACAAUACAACUGCCAUGGCUUAUAUUAAUAAGAUGGGAAGUGUACAGCACCAAUCCCUAAAUAAAUUAUCUCGUAUUAUUUGGCAAUGGUGCGAGGGUAAAAAUAUCUAUUUAUAUGCCAGUUAUAUAAAGUCUAAAGACAAUUUUGAAGCAAAUGCACAAUCCAGACUUAAAUUAUCCAAAGAAACCGAAUGGGAAAUAAGCAACUUGGUGUUUAAAGAUAUAAUAUCCACUUUUGGGAAACCAGAAGUUGAUCUCUUUGCUUCAAAAAUGAACGCUAAAUGCAAAAAGCUUGUAUCAUGGUUGGGGAGUUCAGAAUGCAUAGCAGUGGACGCCUUUACGAUAAAAUGGAACAAGUUUUUUUUUAUGCUUUUCCACCAUUUUCUGUUAUUCUUCGUGCUUUGCACAAAAUAAAAGAGGAAAAAGCUAGAGGAAUUGCCCUUCUAAACAUCCCAGCCAUGGUACCCACUUUUUACAUCAUUAUUAGAAUCAACACCUUUAGUUUUCGAGGCUGACGAACGUUUACUUCCUUUUAGGAACAUGCCUCAUCCACUUUGGCGAAAAAUUUCUGGUGGCAGGAGUGUUAUCCUCCAAGCCCUGAGAGCUGGUUCAGUACCUGAAGAAGCUUUAGAAAUUUGCUUGGCCUCCAUUACUACCUCUACAAUUCAACAAUAUAAUUCAGGUCUUAAACUGUGGUGGCAAUUUAGAAAAUCUCGAAACAUGAAUGUUUAUUCAGCCUCUGUCUUUUUUCAGUACUCUUCUUUUGCCUUUCUUUAAUCAAGAUAAGAAAAUUUGUUCAGCUAGAACCUUAAUUGAGUAUUUAAAUAAAACCAAGAAUUUAAGACAGACGUCAAAAAAUCUUUUUAUUACCGUUAAGAAACCUCAUAGAGAUGUCACUUCUCAAAUAAUUUCUAAAUGGUUAAAGGUGAUUCUAAAGAAGAGUGGGUUGGAUACGAACCAAUUCACAGCUCAUAAUACUCGCCAUGCUGCGACGUCUGCAUCUGCGCGAAAAAGAGUAUCUUAUGACUCUAUUCGGCUUGCAGCUGGCUGGUCGGAGAAAUCCUCUGUUUUGCCAAUCAUUAUAACAGACCUUCUUAGUUGUUAGUAUUAUGAUGAGAGUUUUUAUCUUUAAGUUUCUUGUUUCUAAUGUUAGUAUAGGAAAAUAUUUUCCAGAUUUGUUAUUUGUCAUAUUAAGUAGGUACAUUUUUAUUAAGAUAUAAGUUACCUUGAAAAAUAAAUGUAUAACCAUAUUAUGUUGUUGCCAUCCUUAGAAUUAAUGUUUUAUGUACAUACCAAUUCUAAGGGUGUGCCUAAUAUUAUUUUUUCUCGUUAUUCGGUUCGUUAUGUUGUUUAAUUAUUAUUAAUAUGACAUGUUUCCGAUGAAAAUUGUUGCAACUUGCUUUAAAUAGCUACCUGUUCUACUUAUUUACGAGACAAGGCUGAAAUAUAAUUAACAGAUCAAACGAACUUACCUAAGUGAAGUUCGAUCUGGAUUAUAUGAAGCCUUGUCGAAGUAAAUAAGUCCCUUCCCUACCCUAUUAUUUAUUUCCCUUGGUUGCAACAAUGUAGCUUUGAAGAAGACUGAAGGUAUGCAGGACCGGGGGGGGUUUUUUAUUUGCUUUGAAUUUGUGUAAGACUCGAUGCCAUAGGAGAUACUACCUGUUCUACUUAUUUACUUCGACAAGGCUUCAUAUAAUCCAGAUCGAACUUCACUUAGGUAAGUUCGUUUGAUCUGUUAAUUAUGUUAUAUUAGUGUUUCUUAUAAAAUUAAAUAGAUUUAUUCAAUGAUGCAAUUUUUAAUGACAUUUAUUUCCGCCAUGUUGGGUUUUACGAAUUAAAUUGAAUGCAUUCGCAAUUUUAAGAAAAACAUACUCGAUUUAGGAUUUAGUUUGUGAUAGUUCUAAUUUAUUUAUGUACAUAAUAUAAAUAUAAGGUAAAAUUAUGCGAAAAAGUUGCAAUUUUUUAAAUCUUGAUUUUAGGAAAUUCUUUUUUACUUAUCCAAAAUCUUUAAUAUUCCGAAGGGGCAUCAAAAUUGAGAUGCGAAUAUGCACCUAUAAUAUCCGUUGCGUAAGACAAUAUUCGCCCGGAGAACCCUAAAAUAAUGUUUUCCUAUAUAAUAAUUAUUACAGCUAAGCCACAAUGAUAGGUGUAUUUAAUUUCGCCAUCUAUCUUUUUACCAAAGGUAUGGAGCUUAUAAACUUUCUUAAUUUUAUUAAUCUCUAGGAGUGGAAUAAAAUAAUCUCAGCCGAAUACAAAUUGUGUUGAUUUAAAUAUUUAUAUUUUGAAAUAUGUAUUUUUGUCAUUAAAAUAAUUUUGUAAAUGCUUUAUUAUGGACUGGAAUUGAUUUUAAUUGGGGCAUUAAGAAUUAUAGUGGCCUAACCCACAAAAAGUUGAUAUUUAGAUAAACCCAUAAAGCAAUUCUCAAAUAUCCAAAGAAUCGACAGAAAAGUGGCCUAACCCAUUUUAAACUAUGUACGUAUAGAUCGCCACAUGUUUCACUUUAAUAUUCAAAUUAUUUUUUUAUUUUUAAAUAUUAUACUGGCCUAUCGGGGGUUAGGCCACUGUUAUGUUAGGACUAUCAUUUGUUUACUUACGUUUAGAUUAAAACGUGGCUGUUCUUUUUCUCAGUAAAAGUUGUUGUUUUUUUGAAAAAAAUUGGGUUGUGUUAGUAUGGAGAGUGUGGGUGAGUAUUUUUAAUUUAUUCCGUUACCUGUAUUAUUAUUUUGUUAGGAAUUUCUACUUUUACUGAUAGUAGCACGGCAAAAAUUGAGGUUAUUCAAAUUUUACUUUACUUAAAUAGUUUUUAAUGCCUUUUAUAAAGGUUAAGUCAGUUUAUAAAACUUUUACUAGUGCUUAGUAGGUAGUGCAAAGACAUUUAUUAAUCCUGUUUGUAAAUGCAUUAAUAAGUGCUCUGAUAAAAUUAAGGUCGAUCAAUCUAAGAAAGUCUUUGAAAAUUUUUAUAGUUUGGCAAAUUUUGACUUGCAGUCGUCGUAUAUAUUUGGACAAGUAAAUGUUAUAAAAAAAAUCAGGGUAUACACUGAUAAUGCAAAUAGCAGGCGAAAUAUGACAAGGGUUUGUAAUUUGCCAAAUAAUGAAAAUGGAAUUGAUGUGAAGGUCUGUAAAGAAUUUUUUAAGCAAGUUUUGCAGAUUUCGGAUGGCAGAUUGUCAAGGGUUCUUCUCAAAAAGUCAGAAGGAAUCCCUCCGAUAGAUAAGCGGGGAAAACAUCCCUCUGCCAGGAGAACGCCUGAUUCGAAGGUAAGACGUUAAGACCUUUAUAGAAAGGUUUCCAGUUUUUGAGUCACAUUAUUCUAGAGCUAAGAGUGGACAACGAAAAUAUUUGGCUCCUUAUUUAAAUAUUCAAAUAUUAUACAAUCUCUAUAAAGAGCAGUACACGUCACCUGUCAGCAAUCAUGUUUUUAGAGAUAUUUUCAAUACUCACUUCAACCUCCAUUUUCAUGCCCCAAUAACAGAUAGCUGUCGCAGAUGCGAUGAAUUCAAUAAUAAAAUUAAAAUAAGUAAUAACGAAAAAAAAAGAACUUAGAAAUACAAGAGGAGCUACAUCUUCGAAAAGCAGAUCUGGCAAGAAAUGAAAUGAAAAAAGAUGGAGAAGAAGCAUUAGUAAAAGAAAACGAGACCGUUGCUAUUGCAUUUGACUUAAUGAAAAUUUUGCCCACCCCAGUAUUGUCCAGAGGAAUUACAUAUUAUAAGCGUCAACUAUGGACAUAUUGCUUGGGAGUCAAUGAUUUAGCCCAUAAUACCGCAGUUAUGUACGUUUGGAAUGAAUCCGUCGCUUCAAGAGGGCCUCAGAAGAUUGGCUCUUGCCUUAUCCACUAUUGCAAAAAUUUUGUGUCAGAAAAAAAACUUAUCAUGUAUAGCGAUCAAUGUGGCGGCCAGAAUCGCAAUAUUAAGAUGGCACUCAUUUGCGACUAUAUGACAAAUUCAGCGCAGUUCUCUAUCACUGAAAUAAAUCACAAGUUUUUAGUAUCAGGUCACUCAUACCUUCCGUGUGAUCAAGAUUUUGGCGUUGUAGAAAAAGAAAAAAAAAUCAUAAAGAUGUGUUUAUACCGGAGCACUGGAUGACUGUUAUUAAAGCUGCACGAAAGAGAAAAAAAAAUUUCCACGAAAAAAAAUUUUUCCACGAAGAAACUGGAGGGCGCUAUUACUAAUAGAAAAAGCAGUACAGAUGGCUCUAAGGUAGAGUGGCUAAAAAUGCAAUGGAUUAAAUUUUCGAAUGACACAAAACACCAAUUUCAUUUUAAAUACUCAAACUCAAGGAUGGUCCCAUUUAAUACAGUUUCAAUAGCCAAACGCAAUCCUUGUGAUCCAGUUGAAAAUUUGGAUCUGCUGUUCAUCUGCUUAGGGCGUCCAAUAGAAAAAAAGAAAAAAUAUGACCUAAUGGAACUUCUUCCAUAUGUUCCACCAAUUUUUCAUGGCUUUUACCAUAACUUAAAGACAUCUGCCUCAGCGAUUGACGAACUGGGAGAAAACAGAGAUGAUGUGGCUGUGUAGGGCUCCUUGAAUAGACUUUCCUAAUUUUUUCAUGUACUAUCUGUAUUAAAAAUAUACCUUUUUGCAUUAUAAUCUGCUUUUUCAUUUAAUUUUUAGAGAUUUCAGAAUAUUUCAAGCACAUUUCUACUGAAUGCUGCUUAGGAACAUCUUUCUCCCGUUUUCCUCUCUCCCGUGUAAUAGAGGACAAUAAAUUUCAUCAGUAAAGUCUAACGGCGUUUUAAUUCCCCGAACUAUUUACAAUAACCUACAGUCGCAUAAUUUAGAAGUGGCAUUUUCAAUAAUAUACAUAAAAAAAUUGCUAUAAUUUUACCACCUCGUAUUUUUACGAAUACGUCAACGUUUCUACUCACUUCUUCU